ensembl:lncRNA
GUGUCGAAUUGGAGGGCUUGGAUAAGAAUGAAUUUGAGUUAGAGCUCACGACAUGCGCUCUUCUUCCCCAUUGCUGCCCAGUAUCAGUCCUGGGGUUUAAAUCUUUCGAAGUAGUGAUGGAAGCAGAUACCGGUUUAUUUCUCAUCUUACAAACAGCAGUUUCAUGUGUUACAAGCACUUAAAAGAAGCAAUGUAUAGAGGGCUGUUAUGAAUACUAGCAUGCUGUGAAAGCUAAGCGCUACCACUGCUAUCUAUCUGAGGACCUUCCGAUUCUGCCAUGUUUUAUGCUCUUCCUCAGUGGCCCUGAAGUACAAGAAUGUUAAGAGGAUCACUAUGUCACUGUCACUAUGGUCAAUGGACAAGGCAAUGUCGAAACACUUUAUACCUGUUGUUUUUAGUCAAAUGUUACCCAAAAUGCUUAAUAAGCCAUAAGUAAUGGCUAAGUCCAUUAUGUAAUAAUUCCAGUGUUUAAUAAUUCUGUUUUUGUGCAUAUCUGAUACUAAUUUUACUUAGAAAUGAAAAACUCUAAGAUAUGUUGUUUUUGUUUUUGUGUGUGUGUGUAUGUGUCGUGGUUAAUACAUCACCCUUAUUAACUACGUGGCCAAUGAGCUAUCUUCAUACCACACUAUAUAAGUGGUUGUUUAUGCCUCACGAAAUGCGACAUGGUCGAAAACCCGCCCCUUCCUUUGGUUGCUAUGGACUACAGAGGUAUGUGUUUUUAAGCUUUGUCUUAGCUGUUUGAUGUUGGCGUUGUCUACUUACCAUACUUGUUUAGUGUGACGUUGGGCUACCAAGACUGUGUGCAUGGGUGGUCAAGGCUCCCAUCUGUGUAGCAUGGUAGUUUAACGUAGCUCCGGUCGGAGCACUAGCUGUUGCCGUCACAACUAUUAAAGACGCUAUCAUGAUUUUCGUUUGUACCAUCGUGUGUAUCAUGUCAUCGGAUCACAGUAGGUAAAGCAUUUAGUUCCGUUACUCGAGCUAAACUAUCUUGCAUGCUUUCCAAAUUGAGGUUGUAACACCUGUUUGUUCUUAGGGUCCUCGAUUUUGAAUGCGUUAAGGCGGGCUGAGUGAGAUGUGGUCGUUUCGGUAUAGCUCCUCCCCCUCACUCGCAGAGCCACGUUGCUGCUUGAUUCUGUUUGGUUUUGCUGCUUCCGUUUGUUUUGCUUUUAUUUAUGUUGGUUACUGUCACUAAGAUCAGUUUUAUUGAACUCAACUGUGUUGUAACAGUCUUUAUCAGUUAUGUUGGUACUGCUAUGGUACUAGCUUGGUAGUAGUGGUUUUGGUCAGUCGUGGUAAACUUGCUACCUGUAAUCAGUUUGCGCUCGGGGUAAUGUCUGUUUUUGUGACGGUAAGCUUGUUUUUGUCUGCUGUGAUCAUAUUGUAAUUGACUGACUUUGUAUUUUUGUUUUUCUUUUUGUAGGAGCUGAGUGCUUCCUGAGACUGGGGGAGUUCUUUGCUGCACUUUAGGCUUUUACUUAACCAAGGCUGGUGCUGUCGUACUAGCCUGCCCUUCAUACAGGAAGCCUCAGUCCUCCUAUGAUUAUUGUUAAUUUCCUCUUGUGACUGUUUUAUUUGACCAAUGCCUGACUGUGUUGGCUGCUUUUUAUUUAUUUAUUUUUUUAAAUAGUUCUUGGCCAGUGUUUAACUUUUAAAUAAAAUAAACUUUUGUAUGGA